rnacentral:rRNA from 1 species
AACGAACGCUGGCGGCAGGCCUAACACAUGCAAGUCGAGCGAGGACUUCGGUCCUAGCGGCGGACGGGUGAGUAACGCGUGGGAACGUGCCCUUUGCUUCGGAAUAGCCCUGGGAAACUGGGAGUAAUACCGGAUGAGCCCUUUGGGGGAAAGAUUUAUCGGCGAAGGAUCGGCCCGCGUUGGAUUAGGUAGUUGGUGGGGUAAUGGCCUACCAAGCCGACGAUCCAUAGCUGGUUUGAGAGGAUGAUCAGCCACACUGGGACUGUGACACGGCCCAGACUCCUACGGGAGGCAGCAGUGGGGAAUCUUAGACAAUGGGGGAAACCCUGAUCUAGCCAUGCCGCGUGAGCGAUGAAGGCCUUAGGGUUGUAAAGCUCUUUCAGCUGGGAAGAUAAUGACGGUACCAGCAGAAGAAGCCCCGGCUAACUCCGUG